rnacentral:misc_RNA from 1 species
GUGAUGGAAGGGUUUUGUGAGAAUCUGAGAGUUGGUGAAAUUUAAGGCUUCAGAUCUGACACUAUCUAUCAAAUUGCAAGGACUAGUGAAAAUGGGGAGUGAGAUAAUUGCUAUCAUUGCAUUGAUUAUUUUCCAGGAGACCAUUUUAUAGUAAUCACUUCCUGAGAAUCUUUAUUUUUCUAGGAUUUGAGACAUUCUAUCAACAG